UGGAGAUAACAGCAAAAUUGGUGGUAACACCAAAAUUACGAAUUCAAUUAUUGGGCAAGGGUGUAAUAUUGGAUCAAAUGUUACAAUUGAAGGCUCUUACAUAUGGGACAAUGUGACCAUUGAAGAUGGCUGUAAACUCAGUCAUGCUAUCGUAUGUGAUGGAGUUGUCAUAAAGUCAGGAGCAGAACUGGAACCUGGUGUAAUUUUGUCUUUCA
rnacentral:misc_RNA from 1 species